rnacentral:rRNA from 1 species
GGAAUUUUCCGCAAUGGGCGAAAGCCUGACGGAGCAACGCCGCGUGAGGGAUGAAGGCCUCUGGGCUGUAAACCUCUUUUCUCAAGGAAGAAGAUCUGACGGUACUUGAGGAAUAAGCCACGGCUAAUUCCGUGCCAGCAGCCGCGGUAAUACGGGAGUGGCAAGCGUUAUCCGGAAUUAUUGGGCGUAAAGCGUCCGCAGGCGGCCUUGAAAGUCUGUCGUUAAAGCGUGGAGCUUAACUCCAUUUAAGCGAUGGAAACUACAAGGCUAGAGUGUGGUAGGGGCAGAGGGAAUUCCCGGUGUAGCGGUGAAAUGCGUAGAUAUCGGGGAGAACACCAGUGGCGAAGGCGCUCUGCUGGGCCAUAACUGACGCUCAUGGACGAAAGCCAGGGGAGCGAAAGGGAUUAGAUACCCCUGUAGUC